rnacentral:rRNA from 1 species
UACGUAGGUGGCAAGCGUUGUCCGGAUUUACUGGGCGUAAAGAGCGCGCAGGCGGUCGUUCAAGUCGCGUGUGAAAGCCCCGGCUCAACUGGGGAGGGUCACGCGAUACUGAUCGACUGGAAGGCAGGAGAGGGUAGUGGAAUUCCCGGUGUAGUGGUGAAAUGCGUAGAUAUCGGGAGGAACACCAGUGGCGAAGGCGACUACCUGGCCUGUUCUUGACGCUGAGGCGCGAAAGCUAGG